GCAUCAGUGGUUUAGUGGUAAAAUCCAUCGUUGCCAUCAUCCGAUUUUCAGGAGAACUCGGUGACACCUCGAUGGGCCCCGUGUUCGAUUCACGGCUGAUGCA